rnacentral:rRNA from 1 species
AUUGAACGCUGGCGGCAGGCCUAACACAUGCAAGUCGAGCGAGCGGCGGACGGGUGAGUAAUGUAUGGGAAUCUGCCCGAUAGAGGGGGAUAACUACUGGAAACGGUAGCUAAUACCGCAUACUAUCGGAUGUACCCAGAUGGGAUUAGCUAGUAGGUGGGGUAACGGCUCACCUAGGCGACGAUCACUAGCUGGUCUGAGAGGAUGAAAAGCCACACUGGAACGGAGACACGGUCCAGACUCCUACGGGAGGCAGCAGUGGGGAAUAUUGCACAAUGGGCGCAAGCCUGAUGCAGCCAUGCCGCGUGUAUGAAGAAGGCCUUCGGGUUGUAAAGUACUUUCAGCGGGGAGGCGUUACCCGCAGAAGAAGCACCGGCUAACUCCGUGCCAGCCGCCGCGGUAAUUC